ensembl:lncRNA
UUUGCAGACAGCCUAGAGCUUACCUGUCUUUUUGCCUUAUUUUUAGACGUUCGCUCCAGGUGUAAAGUGAAUUCACCAGAAUGGCAUCAAUGCGUCAGAGACAAAAUGAGGAUCUCAAUCGUUGUCACUUGCGGAGGAUCGGAUGCAAACCUACCGUCGCUGGUAUUGCUGACCUUAUUCACUUUUAUAAGGGCGUUACGCUGUUUGGCAGAAGCAAAGAUGUUGUGGACUACUACAUUAGCUCUCCAGGCGAAACGAAAGAUUGCAUAUCCCGGCACCAUGCCAGAGUGAUUCGAACCGCUGAUACUUAUGAGCUCGUGGAUUCCAGCCUGACAGGCGUUUACGUUAAUGACAUCAAAAUUGGUGGUAAAGUUAUCUUGCAGAAAGGUGAUACUGUUAUAUUUGGGCAUCCCACAGAAAGAUACCUAAAGCCUGGAACGCAAGUUCGUCAGCCGAACUCACAGCUCUGCUUUCUGGUUCCAUUACCCCUGUUAACAUCUCCAAAGGUUCCUCAGUUCAGCUCAAACUUGGCGUUUGAGAAAAGCAUUAGUCUUCCUGCUCGACCCCCACCAAUACGGACACCCCAAGAUGUUCCACGUACUGUUGGAGCUCCGUCUGAGUCUAGUGGUGAAAUUCCUAAUGAUCUUCAGCUGCAGGAUAAUGGCUGCAUAGAGGAAAAGGGGUCUUUGAGAGAAGAUCAGUCACUUUUAUCUGCUGCUGAAAAAGAAAACACGGACACCARCCAAAGUCUGAAAGCAUGUGAAAUCUCUGUGAUCUGUUCUGUGGAUUCCACAUUUGAUAAUGGCAGUGAUGAAAGGUUGAACGCUGCUGAUGGCCAGGAGCAGAGGGCUGCUUGCUCAUCAGAGGAUGAUGUGCUUUYGGAAGAAAAACAUGAUGAUCUCUCAGGCAGUAUUGAGGGGAAAUCUUAUCAAGAGACAAAGGAAGAUACUGUUGAAAGCAAAAMUAUCACAAGAAUAACAGGAGAGAGAAGGGCUUCAAGACCAACUAGAAAUGAUAGUAUGUUGGAGCAACAGARCGACCAAGAAAAUGAAGACUUAGCUAGGGACUGGGGAAAUGCAGYUAUUCGACAGACKCAUUGUAAUUUUGGCAGUACUAGAGCUGCACUUGCGAAGAGGCCAGAGCAGAAUACAGACUGCUGCUCCUCUGACUCGGUUUCCUUUCCCUCCAGCCUUGUGCCCGUAGGCUCACCCAAAUGCACAUGGUGUGAGGGUAACAGUUGUUCCUGUUCGCACACAGAGCCCUCUUGCCCUGUGGAUGAAAGCRGAGUAGGAAGUGGUCUGCGGUAUGCACAUGCCUGCUCCUUGGCCCAGCUCUGCUCUAAGAGUGAAGGAGGGGACGGUGGUGAGGAAGGAUCUGAACCAGCACAUCAUGAGCAGUGUGUUAAAUCAGUAGUGGAAAAGGGAAAGGAGGAACCUGCACAUGUUGUUGCAGAUUUUAGUGAGCCCGAUGAGAGGAAACAGAGUAGUUCCCAGRGUUGUGACUGGAAGUCUCCUGUUAGCUCUGUCUGCUCAGAAUUACAGGAGGAAUCAGUUGAGCUUGAAGACCAGCAGGAAUCUGAUUCUUGUGCAGUUGAACCUCCAAAUUUGGAAGGAAAUGUGGAUUUGAAAUCCAAAGAAGAUUUUGUGAAACUGUCUCUUUAUCCAGAAGACAGUGGUGUGGAGGAUGCUGUUUUGG